rnacentral:rRNA from 1 species
AACGAACGCUGGCGGCAUGCCUAACACAUGCAAGUCGAACGAGACCUUCGGGUCUAGUGGCGCACGGGUGCGUAACGCGUGGGAACCUGCCCUUAGGUUCGGAAUAACUCCCCGAAAGGGGUGCUAAUACCGGAUAAUGUCUUCGGACCAAAGAUUUAUCGCCUUUGGAUGGGCCCGCGUUGGAUUAGCUAGUUGGUAGGGUAAAAGCCUACCAAGGCGACGAUCCAUAGCUGGUCUGAGAGGAUGAUCAGCCACACUGGGACUGAGACACGGCCCAGACUCCACCGGGAGGAGGAGGGGGGAAAUAUGGAAAAGGGGGAAAAAGCUGAACCCAGAAAGGCCGCGGGAGAAAGAAGGGCGUUGGGGUUGAAAAGCUUUUUUACCGGGGAGAAAAAGAACAGAACGGGAAAAAAAAGCCCGGGAAAACUCCGGG